rnacentral:lncRNA from 1 species
CUUAUAUCCCAGCUCUGCAGAAGUUACCAAAUCUCUCCAAGCCUCAGUUUCCUUAUGCAUAAAAGAAUAACAAGAGCAUCGAAUUACCCAGAGUUCUGACGGGAAACAGAUGGCACAGGGAAAUGGAGGAUGACUUGCAGAGGUCUGGGCAGGAUCAAAGGAAAAUAUGAAAACUGGAAAAGCACAUGGGAGCUGGAUCAGGAUAGAAAGAAAGGUCUGCUAUAGCUGUAGGAGAAGACAGGGAACUGGAGCACCAGUCCCAGGAAGAAGAACAUGGCCACUGCCAACUGGCAGCAAGAAGGGAGUGUGCCAAGAGGAUCAACACCCUAACCUUACUCCCCCAUCCUGACUUCUCAUUGGCUCAACUGGGGACUAGAGAGCAAGGAAGCCAACUUCUGUACACUCACAGCCACCAACUGUCUAGUAGAGCCGCCGGCUCCCACUUCCCCGACGCCGCGCAAGGCCGGCCCCCGCCGGGCCCAGAACGCGAGCCGGAAUCAGCCAGCAGCCCAUGAGCGCACGACCAGCUGCCGGCCUGCUGGCUCUCCCCCAGUCGGUUCACCCCAGCGGGGCUCGCGCCCCUGGCACGCCCGCCUGGCACCGCGCCCCGAGGAGCCCGCGGCGGCGAGAGGGCGCCCUUCCCCCCCCCCAGGCCCCGCUUGAUGGGGAUCGCUCCGUCCCAAGGUCAGCCAUCUGGACGCAGCCGUUUCGCCUGACUACUAGACCUUGAGAAAAUGCUGAUUUGAUGCUUUUCGCUUCUGUACUGUGCUUUUACUCCUAUAUAAGGACCCC